rnacentral:sRNA from 1 species
GCUGGGCGCCGUGCAGCUUGCCUGUAAUCUCAGCCGUCUGGGAGGCUGAGGCAGGAGGAUCAUGAGUUCAAAUCCAGCCUCAGCAAAAGUGAGGCACUAAGCAACUCAUUGAGACCCUGUCUCUA